UUCCCGUCUGCCUUUCUCUUUGUUUCUCACUGAAGCCCAGAAAGCUUGCCUGGUCGUGAUUUUUAUUAUUAGUGGUAUUAAUAUUAGUGUCUUGCCUUUCGGUUUGGAUGGCCUGCAGAACUCACGCCCAGCAGUGUACGGCCACUGAGCCCGCUGAGGCAGGGGGGUUAACUGGGCUAGGGGGCUUCUAGCUCCCAGCCUCUGUGGGCUAUUUUUGUGGUUUUUCUCGCUCUCUCCCAGCAAGCCUUGUGUCUGUGGGAUGUACCCAGUCUUUCCCGUGUACGCAUUUGAAAGGAGCAGAUGAAAGCUGCUCCUCUGAGCCCGCCUAAUUGGAGAGAAUUGCAGUUUAGAGAGCAACUGAAACAAGUCAUCACAAACUGGGCAGCUUAAACAACAGAAAUUUAUCCUCUCACAGUCCUGGAGGCCAGAAGUUCCAUAGCAAGGUGUCAGCAGGGCCAUGCUCUCUCUCUGAAGGAUCCAGGAAAGACUCCUUCCUUUCCUCUUCCGGCUUCCGGUGGUGGCCGUCAAGGCUUGGCAUUCUUUGGCUCAUAGCUGCAUCACUGCAAUCUCUGCCUCUCUCACCACAUCAUGUUCACUCUGCGUCUGUGUCUUCUCCUCUUACAAGACACCAGGCAUAUUGAAUUUAGCACCUACUGUAACCUUGUAUGACCUCAUUUUAAUGUAAUUACAUUUGCAAAGAUCCUAUUUCCCCUAUUUCCCAAUAAGGUCACAUUCGCAGGUACCUAGGAUUGGGACUUCUACACGAUCUUUUCAGAAGACACAGUUCAACCCGCAAUAGUACCCCAUGGGGUGUUGUGAGAAUUAAGUGAGAUAAUAUGAAAAGAGCUUAGACCAAUGCCUGGAACAUAGGAGCAUGAAUUAUUUAUUCUUUCUAAACCUUACAAUAAGCUCAGAAGGGUGGAUCUUAUUGCACUUCUUCAACAGAACAGAAGCCCUAGGCUGGAGGUGAAAGAAACUGGCCUGAGGCCACCCAGGUAGUUAGUGGUACAGUUCAAGUUUACAGUGGCUUGCUCUAGCUCCAGAACCCAAAAACUUCUAAUAAUUGAUUACUCCGCACUCCAGCUAGAGCGACUUGGCUUUCUAGAACAAUCCAGUUUCUUUAUACUUUCCUUAUGAAACUCACUUUCCAACCCUGGGGUUCUCCUACUUCACUCUCCUGCCACCUGCUAUGAAUUAUUCAAGUUCAAAUUCACUACUUUAGAAUCCCAAAUUAAAAAGCACUCAGCUAGAAUAGCGGAGAUUCUUGCAUAUAUCUUUAACCAAGCUUGUCCAACCUACUCUUGCAAGCCACAUGCAGCCCAGAACGGCUUUGAAUGCAGCCCCCCAAAAUUCGUAAACUUUCUUAAAACAUCAUGAGACUUUUUUGUGAUUUAUUUUUAGCUCAUCAGCUAGCAAUAGUGUUAGUGUAUUUUGUGUGUGACCCAAGACAGUUCUUCUUUCAGUGUGGCCCAGGGAAGCCAAAAGAUUGGACGCCCCCACCUUAAACCCUUACUCAUUCUUAGUACAAUGUCAGGCUUAACCAGGAUAUCAAAAUAGACUGCCACAUUUCCUCACCUCAAGGGUUUAUGGAUGAGAAACGUCCAGAAUCAGUUACAAAUGAAUUUACAAUAUGCCAGAUGCUCUUCUAAGUGCUUUAACAGAUGUUGACACAUUAAAGCCCCCUGACAACUCUGUGAAGGAAAUAUUGGUUUACUCCCAUUUUACAGAUUAGGAAUAUGCAGACACAGAAUGGCUAAGAUCACAGAGCUGGAAUGUUCCAGAACGGGCACUUGGCUGGGGUAGUCUGCCUUUUAGUUCCAGAGCCUAUGCUUUUAUGAGCUGUGUUCCAUGUGCGGUGGAUUUAUUUAAACAUCCCCUGAGGACAUUAAGGUUAGUUUUAAUAUUUGGACAUUCGAAACAAUGCUAGAGUAAACAUCCUCAAGUUAAAUAUUUGCGCACAACCCGAAUUAUUUUUCUGAUAGAAUUGUCAAAGAGUAAGCAUGUUAUUAACGCUUUGGUAUAUAACGUCAAAUUGCAAGAACGAGGGAAGGAGCUCUCAGGAAGUGAAAAUGGGAUCAGCAACAGCAUGAAAUGGAAAAGCAUGGGGGUAUGUCUGGAAAAUGGCAAACACUCCAAUCUGAAUGGAAUGUAAAGUGCUUGAAGACAAGAGACUGAAGCGCUGCUUCUAAAUUGGUCUGGACCCAGCUUGUGGAGCACUUUGAACACCAGACUUCAGAAUUUAGACUCUGUCAAGCAGCACUCAAAAACCAGCAUACAUUUUUGAACUGGGGAGUGAAAUGAUCAGAUUCUGUCUAAAAUAAUUUGCUCAAGAAAAACUUGAGGAAAGAAAAACUUCUCUCCCUUCAUAGGAGGAGUCAUUCAUCACAACUGCAUCGGUACAAAUGGACUGGUGGGGGUACAUUUCAUUUAUUCUUUUAACAUGGUACAUUCUUGAAAUUACCACUUCAACACACAGAGAAAUAAAAAGAUUAAUGUAAAGAAUAAAUAUAUCAAU
rnacentral:lncRNA from 1 species